CCUACGAGAGGCAGCAGUGAGGAAUAUUGGUCAAUGGGCGGAAGCCUGAACCAGCCAAGUCGCGUGAGGGAAUAAGGCCCUACGGGUCGUAAACCUCUUUUGCCGGGGAGCAAGGGCGGGGACGUGUCCCGGCCCGGAGAGUACCCGGAGAAAAAGCAUCGGCUAACUCCGGGCCAGCAGCCGCGGUAAUACGGAGGAUGCGAGCGUUAUCCGGAUUUAGUGGGUUUAAGGGGUGCGUAGGCGGGCUUUUAAGUCAGCGGUAAAAAUUCGGGGCUCAACCCCGUCCGGCCGUUGAAACUGGGGGCCUUGAGUGGGCGAGAAGAAGGCGGAAUGCGUGGUGUAGCGGUGAAAUGCAUAGAUAUCACGCAGAACCCCGAUUGCGAAGGCAGCCUUCCGGCGCCCUACUGACGCUGAGGCACGAAAGUGCGGGGAUCGAACAGGAUUAGAUACCCGAGUAGUC
rnacentral:rRNA from 1 species